GAUGAACGCUGGCGGCAUGCCUAAUACAUGCAAGUCGAACGAGAGGAAGGAAAGCUUGCUUUUCUGAAUCUAGUGGCGAACGGGUGAGUAACACGUAGGUAACCUGCCCAUGUGCCCGGGAUAACUUCUGGAAACGGAUGCUAAAACCGGAUAGGUAGCAGACAAGCAUUUGACUGCUCUUAAAGUGGCUAAGGCCAUGAACAUGGAUGGAGCUGCGGUGCAUUAGCUAGUUGGUGAGGUAACGGCCCACCAAGGCGACGAUGCAUAGCCGGCCUGAGAGGGCGGACGGCCACAUUGGGACUGAGACACGGCCCAAACUCCUACGGGAGGCAGCAGUAGGGAAUUUUCGUCAAUGGGGGGAACCCUGAACGAGCAAUGCCGCGUGAGUGAGGAAGGUCUUCGGAUCGUAAAGCUCUGUUGUAAGAGAAAAACGACAUUCAUAGGGAAUGAUGAGUGAGUGAUGGUAUCUUACCAGAAAGUCACGGCUAACUACGUGCCAGCCGCCGCGGUAA
rnacentral:rRNA from 1 species